rnacentral:tRNA from 1 species
GGUCCUGUGGCUCAGUUGGUAGAGCAUGGUGUUUGCAACGCCAGCAUGGUGUGUGCAACGCCAGGGUUGUGGGUUCGAUUCCCACGGGGGGCCA